AGUGAACGCUGGCGGUAGGCCUAACACAUGCAAGUCGAACGGCAGACAGUAAGAGCCUGCUCUUACGGGUGGCGAGUGGCGGACGGGUGAGGAAUACAUCGGAAUCUACCUUUUCGGGGGGGAUAACGUAGGGAAACUUACGCUAAUAACGCAUACGACCUACGGGUGAAAGCAGGGGAUCUUCGGACCUUGCGCGAUUGAAUGAGCCGAUGUCGGAUUAGCUAGUUGGCGGGGUAAAGGCCCACCAAGGCGACGAUCCGUAGCUGGUCUGAGAGGAUGAUCAGCCACACUGGAACUGAGACACGGUCCAGACUCCUACGGGAGGCAGCAGUGGGGAAUAUUGGACAAUGGGCGCAAGCCUGAUCCAGCCAUACCGCGUGGGUGAAGAAGGCCUUCGGGUUGUAAAGCCCUUUUGUUGGGAAAGAAAAGCAGCAGGUUAAUACCCCGCUGUUCUGACGGUACCCAAAGAAUAAGCACCGGCUAACUUCGUG
rnacentral:rRNA from 1 species